rnacentral:rRNA from 1 species
AUUGAACGCUGGCGGCAUGCUUUACACAUGCAAGUCGAACGGCAGCACGGGGGGUAACUCCUGGUGGCGAGUGGCGAACGGGUGAGUAAUGCAUCGGAACGCGUCCUGUAAUGGGGGAUAACCUACCGAAAGGUAGGCUAAUACCGCAUACGCCCUGAGGGGGAAAGCGGGGGAUCGAAAGACCUCGUGUUAUAGGAGUGGUCGAUGUCGGAUUAGCUAGUUGGUGGGGUAAAGCCUACCAAGGCGACGAUCCGUAGCGGGUCUGAGAGGACGGCCCGCCACACUGGGACUGAGACACGGCCCAGACUCCUACGGGAGGCAGCAGUGGGGAAUUUUGGACAAUGGGGGCAACCCUGAUCCAGCCAUGCCGCGUGAGUGAAGAAGGCC